GUGCCAGCAGCCGCGGUAAUACGUAGGGUGCAAGCGUUAAUCGGAAUUACUGGGCGUAAAGCGUGCGCAGGCGGUUUUGUAAGACAGUGGUGAAAUCCCCGGGCUCAACCUGGGAACUGCCAUUGUGACUGCAAGGCUAGAGUGCGGCAGAGGGGGAUGGAAUUCCGCGUGUAGCAGUGAAAUGCGUAGAUAUGCGGAGGAACACCGAUGGCGAAGGCAAUCCCCUGGGCCUGCACUGACGCUCAUGCACGAAAGCGUGGGGAGCAAACAGGAUUAGAU
rnacentral:rRNA from 1 species